UUCAAUACUGUUAUUGCAACGGUGUGCACUUUUCUCUUAGUAAGACGUUGUGAUCCAUUAGGAAUCGAUUGUGCAUCUAAUGUUGUGCAAUCAAUAGGCUACCAAUAGGCGCUGGUAUUGAAGUUCAUUUUGGCAAAUAGCAACAUCCUUUGGUGGUGCAUAUUGCCUUGUGAACGUACUGUGUUCUGAUGUAGCUGCCUGAUGGGUUUUACAGGCCACAUGAUUGAUGCUUGCAUCACCCGACUUCGGUUGGGAAACAUGUGUGCCCGAUCAACAACGGUUUCAUUUGGGAUACCUUUGGGACCCGUCUUGAAACACGGACCAAGGAGUCUAUCUAGUAUGCGAGUAAAUGGGCCAUGAAAACCUAUUUGCGUAAAUAACUUGACUGUAAUUUAAUGGGAUUACGUGCGUUACUUUUUGUGCGCGCCUCCAUCCCGGGGUAUUUUCAUCAUUUAUGUGGGGGCAACUCUACAUAAAGAAAAUAUACCAUGAGCAUACUGGACAUGACCCGAAAGAUGGUGAACUAUGCCUGAUCAGGUUGAAGUCAGGGGAAACCCUGAUGGAGGACCGAAGCAAUUCUGACGUGCAAAUCG
rnacentral:rRNA from 1 species